CACCUGAGACAAUGCAAACGUGAAACAAUUUAGAGUUAAAGGUAUUGCUCAACGGCGGUAAAAAUGGCUCUCUGGAAGUCCUGGGAUUUUAACUUACAACCAUAUUAUCACUAGAUCAGAACAAAAACAAGAGAAGUUUUUUAAUGGUUUCUUCCAUUACCCACAAUGCUGUUUGACUACUUGCUCAGACAGAUAAGGUGCCAAAGCUUCAGCGUUCAUGCUAUUACCAACAUCAACACCAUCAUGCUUAUCAUUUCAUUGAUGGCCGAAUAGCCAAUCCGAGACCAUGCCAUUACUCAGCGCAACUGUGUCAUAUAGAUACACUGCAUGCUGGGAGUUUGAAUUGAGCGUUUGCUGUCUCCUCUACUUCUAUGUUGGAUGUCUCAUGAAUACGAUGCUAUGUGAAAGAGCAAGCAUGAAAAAAGAAGCUCUUGCUCUGAGUGUUGUCACCUAUGUUUGAGAUCCUUGAGAUUGUUUUCCAUUGUAACUGUGCUAGCAAUGUCCUUCUGUGAUGUCAGCACAACACACAACCAUUAACUUCUCACAAGAAAAAUGACAAUACUGCACCAACCAACUAAUAAACACCAGAAGUACUAAGGAAAUCAUAAAUAUUUCAGUGAAAACAUAUUUAAUAUGUGUCAGGGUGGAGUUUUUUUUUUUAACCUUCUGACCACUAAGCAUGGUGUGUGACAAAAACAAAUAUUUGUGUCACGAGAGAUGCUUCUAAAAUGGUAGAAAAUCAUGUUUUCGAGUAUGCCUAUAGGUUCACACGGGGGCAAACGAGGUCGCACCUGCACGAAACAGCCUCCAUUAGUGUGAGUGCACUACAGGAGCCAUAGCGCACGUGUUAAAGCACGCAGCGUGAGAUCCCUGAGCGCGCGCCUCACCGGUUUUCUGAUCGCAGUCUGUUCACGUGACCUGAAGAUAGGGUUUUUGUGUGUGUGUGUGUGUGUGUGUGUUUUUGGAGAUCGAUCACGAAAGGUGGAAAUUGGCUUUAGGACCAUGCAGCUGUCUCUGAUUGGUUGCACGGGGCUGGAGACGACUUUCUGCGGCGGCGCGGGGUCUCGAGAGGUCGCUAAUUAGCGAGCAGU
ensembl:lncRNA